GCUUUGGCAGUACAUAUACCUACUAAAAUUGGAACGAUACAGAGAAGAUUAGCAUGGCCCCUGCGUAAGGAUGACACGCAAAAUCGUGAAGCGUUCCACAUUUUUGACUAGCCCGUUGGCGCAUCUGUGGAAAGUUUUUA